GUUUCCCUUCGGUGUCCCUGUCAGCCCCUCGCAGACGCCCCUCCGCGUCCCCUCUCGGCCCCCAGCGGCACGGAGGCACGGCUCUGCCUGCUACUCCCGGUGUGGGCCGCUGGGGCCGUGCCAGGCCGUGCCCGGCCUCUCCCACACGGCCUGGAGAAAGCGCAGAGGCCGCAGGGCCGGGGCUGUGCUGCGCGUCUCCUCGUCGUCCCCUCGCAGUGCCCGGCUUCCCUCAGCCCAUCCUCCCCCUCUGCCUGCUGCUGCCCGGGCAGUGGAUCCCCUGCGGCAGCCCCUCGCGCCCUGUCAGAGCACCGCUCCAGCUGGUGACCCCAGGCCCGGGCUAAGCAGCCUGCAGGAGGCCGUGGCCGUGCUGAGGGGCUUCUUUCCACAGAUCCAACGUGCCCAGCCCGCUGCCAGCACUGCCGUGCACGAGGGCUGCUCUCAGGCACCGGAGCCAUGGCGCCAGGCGGCGGCGGAGGCUCCCGGCUUCAGAAACACCUGCACUCUGUCUAGACAGACUUCCCUGGCCAAAACAGAGACCACACACCAGUGUGGGACGGGCUGAAGGAGGGCACUGAUACGGCACCGAGGAUGCCGAUGAAAUCCAUAAGCUGGGACAGAUCAAUCAGCAGCUCUGCGUUGGUUUAAAG
rnacentral:lncRNA from 1 species